AGAGUUUGAUCCUGGCUCAGGAUGAACGCUAGCGGCAGGCUUAACACAUGCAAGUCGAGGGGUAUAGGUUUUCGGACCUAGAGACCGGCGCACGGGUGCGUAACGCGUAUGCAAUCUACCUUUCACAAAGGGAUAGCCCAGAGAAAUUUGGAUUAAUACCUCAUAGUAUUAUGAAAUGGCAUCAUUUUAUAAUUAAAGUCACAACGGUGAAAGAUGAGCAUGCGUCCCAUUAGCUAGUUGGUAAGGUAACGGCUUACCAAGGCUACGAUGGGUAGGGGUCCUGAGAGGGAGAUCCCCCACACUGGUACUGAGACACGGACCAGACUCCUACGGGAGGCAGCAGUGAGGAAUAUUGGACAAUGGGCGCAAGCCUGAUCCAGCCAUGCCGCGUGCAGGAUGACGGUCCUAUGGAUUGUAAACUGCUUUUGUACAGGAAGAAACACUGGUUCGUGAACCAGCUUGACGGUACUGUAAGAAUAAGGAUCGGCUAACUCCGUGCCAGCAGCCGCGGUAAUACGGAGGAUCCAAGCGUUAUCCGGAAUCAUUGGGUUUAAAGGGUCCGUAGGCGGUUUAGUAAGUCAGUGGUGAAAGCCCAUCGCUCAACGGUGGAACGGCCAUUGAUACUGCUAAACUUGAAUUAUUAGGAAGUAACUAGAAUAUGUAGUGUAGCGGUGAAAUGCUUAGAGAUUACAUGGAAUACCAAUUGCGAAGGCAGGUUACUACUAAUGGAUUGACGCUGAUGGACGAAAGCGUGGGUAGCGAACAGGAUUAGAUACCCUGGUAGUCCACGCCGUAAACGAUGGAUACUAGCUGUUGGAAGCAAUUUCAGUGGCUAAGCGAAAGUGAUAAGUAUCCCACCUGGGGAGUACGUUCGCAAGAAUGAACUCAAGGAUUGACGG
rnacentral:rRNA from 1 species